AAGAUUUUAAGUUAAAACAAAACUAUUAUCCUUCAAAGUUAAAAAUAAUAAUAUUCAUUUAUUAAAUCUUA
rnacentral:tRNA from 1 species